UGUGCUUAUGCAAUUCACAAACGAAUAAACAAGAUUGGCUCAUGCUCAUAUUGAAGGUUAAACAAACUGACCAGUAGAACUAAAUUAAACUCAUGGACAUAACAUCCAUAGUUACCAUUCUGAAAAGUUUGCCAAGACCCACCUACUUGUAUUAGUGCUCUACUUCUGUAACAAAAUUCAGUUUAGCAAAAUCAGGUACAAAUCUUAUCCUAAACAAUAAGCACCAUUCAGUCUAUGCUACCAUAUAACUACCUAACCCAAAACACAACAUAAAUCUUACCUACUGUUACUCUGGAUAUAUUGAAAAACAUAUGCUUAAUAAACACAACAAAAACUCAGAACUGAAAAGGAGACAAAUUUCGACCUUGCUUUUAGUUGUAAGGCUAGCUUUUGACUUAUAGGGCGCUUAGG
rnacentral:misc_RNA from 1 species